GGGGAGUUGCUGCUUGUGACUGUUACCCGUGACCGCUCCUUCCUGUGGUACAACGAAACAUCUUGCAGGUGCUUUUUGAAGAGAUGGAACUCCAUGUCCAUGAGUGUACCCAAAUAGGCAAUGCCAGUGUUGUCAAAAACACCCGUAGACAGGUAAGCAAUUAACACCACACGACAAACACUAGUUCUCUAGUUACGGGUGAGUUUAAGCCAGACAUGAUACUAGGAUACCUACACAAAAUACAGCACACUGUUCAAUUCCAGCAGUUUUGAGCACAAACUGAAUUUCCUGAGAGUAUAGCAGCACGUUAGAAAUGUAUGUAACAAACUGCUCAGGGUUAAAAUAAAUUUCAAAGGACAUUUGAGUUAAAAUGAAUUUUGAAGAAUAUCUGAGAAUGCUUUGUCCCAGAUUAGUUCAGUAACAUAACGCUGGCUUGGCAAGGUUUUGGGGUAAAUAAAUCCUGCUCAUAGGCUCCCAUAGAAGAACCCUGGUUGCCGGUCGGACUGGCGGCACCACCUGCUGACGUGCUGCCGGAAUUCCAGUUACAACUUCUGAUCAAGUAUUUCCUUAAAACUUGUCAGACUUUGCAGUAUUUGGGCUGGAGUUAACACACAUUGUCCACGUGAAGCUAAAAUCUGGUUUUCCAAAUGCAUUGACCAAAACCACUGAUGUGUCCAUGAGAAGCCAAGAAGAUAGAUGUAGUUUGGUCCAUGCUAAGUGCCAUCUGGGAAGUUUUGUGCACACUCCUCUGCUCUGGAGAAGGCCUGUGGAAGAUGAGCUGCUUUUGAACCAGCGAUACUGUUCUCCUGAAAAUCCUGCUGUGAAAGAUUUCAAUUUGCAGAGGCUCAGUAGAAAUUCUUUUGAGUGUGUUGGUUUAAAUCCCUGCAGAGUCUGUUCUUGCUGGGAUUUUGCCUGUGCAGUUUCUGAUGCCGACGUUGAGUUGGUGCCAAGUCAGUGGCACGGCCUCUCCGUACAAGGAGCAAGGUUGGAGUGGGUGAGUGAAUUUGUUGAUGGGUAUGGAAAGAACAGCCUGGGAGCUCCAAAAAACACCGGGAUGUGGAAGGAACAUGUAAUGGACUAAGAAUAACAGCGCAAGUCCCUUCCUAAUCUGAGCCACUCUCUGUGUCCAUAAUUAUAUACAUUAUUUCUUCUAAGCAGAGUAGAUUUUUAAGUAGUUAAAUUCAGAACCAGAUACUUGUCACAUCCUGCACAUGUAACAUUUUCUCUACAUCAACAUUCUAAUCUGAAGAAUUAGGACUGUAACUGAACUUUGUUAUGUAGUCCUAAACAGGUAAAAUUGAUAAUAUUUGUAGAAUAUUUUGUCAUCUUGUAAUGCUGGAAACAUAAAUGAUCCCAGCAAU
rnacentral:lncRNA from 1 species